AAUGGGAUGACUGAAGUUAGGUAGUAAAUUGUAAAUUUAUUUAUGGUAUAAAAUUGCCUCUCAUUA
rnacentral:tRNA from 1 species